rnacentral:rRNA from 1 species
UGCGUAGGCGGGUCUUUAAGUCAGGGGUGAAAUCCUGGAGCUCAACUCCAGAACUGCCUUUGAUACUGAAGAUCUUGAGUUCGGGAGAGGUGAGUGGAACUGCGAGUGUAGAGGUGAAAUUCGUAGAUAUUCGCAAGAACACCAGUGGCGAAGGCGGCUCACCGGCCCGAUACUGACGCUGAGGCACGAAAGCGUGGGAGCAAACA